rnacentral:rRNA from 1 species
GACGAACGCUGGCGGCGUGCCUAAUACAUGCAAGUAGAACGCACAGUUUAUACCGUAGCUUGCUACACCAUAGACUGUGAGUUGCGAACGGGUGAGUAACGCGUAGGUAACCUGCCUGGUAGCGGGGGAUAACUAUUGGAAACGAUAGCUAAUACCGCAUGAUAUUAAUUAUUGCAUGAUAAUUACUUGAAAGGUGCAAUUGCACCACUACCAGCUGGACCUUCGUUGUAUUGGCUAGUAGGUGAGGUAACGGCUCACCUAGGCGAAGAUACAUAGCCGACCUGAGAGGGUGAUCGGCCACACUGGGACUGGGACACGGCCCAGACUCCUACGGGAGGCAGCAGUAGGGAAUCUUCGGAAAUGGACGAAAGUCUGACCGAGCAACGCCGCGUGAGGGAAGAAGGUUUUCGGAUCGUAAAGCUCUGUUGUAAGGGAAGAACGGGUGUGAGAGUGGAAAGUUCACACUGUGACGGUAUCUUACCAGAAAGGGACGGCUAACUACGUG